rnacentral:rRNA from 1 species
GAGUAGUAAAAGUUAUGGUCUAGAAACUCAAAAAAUUUGGCGGUAUUUUAUCUUGUUAGAGGAGCCUGUUUUUUAAUUGAUAAUCCACGAUAAAUUUACUCUAAUUAUUUGAUUUGUAUACCGCUGUCAUGAAUCUAUUUAAAAAUAAAUUUUCAUGAGGAUUAUGAUAGGUCAAGGUGCAGUCUAUUAGGUUACAAUGGGCUACUUUAUUGAAUGAAUUGAAAAAGGAUUUAAUAGUAAAUUAAGUGGUAAUGAACUGAGAUUCUAAAAUAUG